rnacentral:misc_RNA from 1 species
UCCUGUUUUGUACAGGCAGUCUGUUUAGAGUGCCCAGCAUUACCUGGUAGCAACUAAACACAGGGGUUGCGUUCGUUGCGGGACUUAACCCAACACCUCACGGCACGAACUGACGACAGCCAUGCAGCACCUGUGCAGCACCCUCGAAGGAAUCCCGCUUUCACGGGACGUGCAGCUGCAUGUCAAGUCCUGGUAAGGUUCUUCGCGUUGCAUCGAAUUGAGCCACAUGCUCCUCCGCUUGUGCGGGCCCCCGUCAAUUUCUUUGAGUUUUAGUCUUGCGACCGUACUCCCCAGGCGGCGCACUUAACGCGUUAGCUCCGGCACGGGAGGGGUCAAUACCUCCCACACCAAGUGCGCACCGUUUACAGCUGGGACUAC